UAUAUUAUAGUUUAUAAAAAUAUUAAAUUGCAAAUUUAAAGAUAUUUAUUUAAAAAAUUAAUAUAU
rnacentral:tRNA from 1 species